UACGGGGGGAGCAAGCGUUGUUCGGAUUUACUGGGCGUAAAGGGCUCGUAGGCGGUUCGUCACGUCGGGAGUGAAAACUCGGAGCUUAACUCCGAGCCUGCUUCCGAUACGGGCAGACUAGAGGUAGGCAGGGGAGAGCGGAACUCCUGGUGUAGCGGUGGAAUGCGCAGAUAUCAGGAAGAACACCGGUGGCGAAGGCGGCUCUCUGGACAGUGACUGACGCUGAGACGCGAAAGCGUGGGGAGCAAACAGG
rnacentral:rRNA from 1 species